AGUUAUUUGGAGCUGGUGAGAGCGAGUGUUCAGUGAUUAUGUUUUGGGCUUAUGCAUUGGCUUCAAUAGCGCUUACUCUGUGGACAACAUUCUUCAUGUGGCUUGUAUCUUAACUUCAUUUUUUUAAUAUCAGACAUAAACAAGUUGACAUGUCCACCAGUCUACUAUGAUAACGAAAAUCAGGAACUAAAAGUUCAACCCUGUUAGAUGUAAUCAUUAAUAUAACCAGUGUAA
rnacentral:lncRNA from 1 species